GUACGUGUGACGAGCGACGUUCACUGGCCAAGCAAGUGUGGAGAGUGAAUUGUGUGUGAGAGAGUGAGUAGGUGAGCAAGAAAGUAAGUAUGUGAGCGAGCAAGUAAGAGCACGAAAUGAACUUGAGGCCAUGUGUGGUUGUUGCACUUCUUCUCCGAUUUACGGCCAAAUUGCCUGAACAGAAAGGCAUGCAUCAACCGGGAGAGUAGCCUUGGACAGGGACCGCCUCGACCCACGGAGUGAAGUGAUUUUAGUAGCCGUUCUAUCAAACACUCGCACCUACAGUACUACGAACAAAGGCAUGCACGCGAAGUCAAUGGACUGGAGAAACUGGGAAUAGGUGGUAACAGUUCUAGCACAAGGAACAGCAGCGCGUCUCCUUGGUUCAGUUAUAUGUAUGUACAUGGCAAAAAAAUGUGAUCCAAGUGGUCUAAGAAACUUGAAGAUUCGAGGUGAAACUCCCCCAAUUGGACAUGGAGGCCUUUGUGCGUUUCGUUGCAUGUUUUUGUCCAAUCAUCCUGCUAUCAUUUUUAUGACCGAUUAUCCUGUGACCAAUUACAUCACCUGUGGUGGGUGACAGGUCGAUUUCCUUUAGAUUUUACUCCUUCCUUUUUUUGGUUACUCAGCAAUCGUGUUGUACUUGAUCACGAUUAUCAUGUUUUCUCCAAUGUGGCGAAAAUAAAUCGUUCAAAACGA